rnacentral:lncRNA from 1 species
CAUUCGUGGUCCAUUCGUGCGUGCGUGCGUGAGUUACGAUGAAAUAUUUCAACAGGCGCGUGACGCCGUGAUUGUGAAAAUACGCCUGGCUUUUCUUCCUCUUUCUCUUUUUCUUUUCCCGACCGUCUUUCUCGUCGCGCGCGCAAAACGUGUACAGCAUAGGUAGUUAUCGAUCCAACAUUAGGUGGUAGGCGGCCGGGACACCACGUAUGAUCAAUAUGUACGCGCGGUGUAUGUACCUCGCUAUGUAAAUUAAAUCGAGCAAGGAGUAUUUUUAUCCAUCGGCUCUAAUAAAAUGGAAAGGAAAACGCGACGAGUCCAGCGUAAGCUGAAACGACCGGCGAGCAGAGCGAGCGAGAACAUUAUCCCGCUGCCGGCUGACAAAACGUUGAAACAUUGAAUAACACGUUGUAAAAAUAUCAUCGAGCAACGUGUAUCUUUACAAAUCGUUUUCGUUGUAUCUAUACUGUAUGUAGUUUGCGUUUAGCCUCACACGAGGAUGCGGUGUACACAAUCGUGUCGAGUGAGCAAGGAAAUUAUCGGAACGUUCGGCAAUCACCGUGGAGACAACGAGUGUCGGAAAAUAACGCGUAACCAAGAGGCACUCCCGAGUUAUAGCGUGUUCUUACGGCGAGGAACACAAUGGUCGCUUUACAGCCCGGCAACAGCGAAGGCUCUACCUGCGUGUAUAACCGUUUUAGACGUAAGGGGUUCCAUUGUGGAGCCACUUCUCUCAGCCUGCCUGCUGUUACUCGUUUGUCGGGGAAAGCAAGAUCCUAUCUGCGAAGAGGGAUAGAUAUUUGGAAUUUAAAUGCGCAACGGCCGACAAAUAGCUACUACUUCCAGAGACUCGACUCAACUCGGCUCGACUCGACUCGACUCAUACCAGUUAACUAGACGAGUUGGAGAGAAAAAAAAUGGAGCCACCGGAGUGUUACGCCUGCGGCUGAUCGUAGAUAACAUCUCUCGAUCGGCUACAUGCAAUUAGCUGCGUGUGUUACGAUGAAAAUACAUAUUCGUUACAUUAUUAAUCGCGUUACAUUAUUAAUCUACGUGACGUUACCCAGGAUAUCUGCUUAAUUAUCACGUACGACUGUAAAUUGUCUAAUUGCCGAGCGUGUAGCUGAGUUGAUCUUAACGUAAGACGAACAUCGCGUUAACGAACAGUUAUUGUUCAAUGGAUGACAAAAAUCCGAAGCUAUUUCAGUCGCGAGUACUCCGAGGGGAUUUCGCCCUCGAAAGACGAAUGCCGCUGCGUUGGCAGAUCCGCAAAACAUUUAGAAAGUGAGAACGAUUGAUCUACAAAACAAGCGGCAAGUUACGUAACAGAGCGGGUUCCAAUUCUUACAGCAUAACUGUGUGACAUAAUCGUGAGUCACUUUUGGUUUUUCAUUGAUUCCUUUCACCGGCGUUCCUCGAUAAAAAUAUAUAUCACUGCGAUGCGAUCACUGAUUAUUUGUGACAGUUUUCGUGAGGUACAUAUAUAAAAUAAUAUAUACACGGGCGCGAGAUCAUUUAUCAUCUCGUUACAUUGGACGUGCGUUAUGCUGGAAUACGGACUAUCCGUCGAAUAACAACUACGGGACACACAAUGUUGGGAACAGUAGAACCAUCUCUCCAUUGAAACGUCUGCCAUGGAACGGACGCUCUUUCGAUGGCAGCCCUUUAUGUAACGAUAAGUGCCGCGUGAUACAAUAACAAACGAGACGCUGAACGGCUACUCAGGAAUACAGUUUCUAAAACCGCAUUUUUCACCGAGCAUACUAAACACGCAUCGACAAUGAAUAUUUAUCAGCCCGAAUGUAGAUGCGUGAAUAACAGGGACAAAGAACUCCGAGAUCUCGGAAUUUUUUAGAAAGUCGAUCCUUUCGGAUUCUAGCUUCGUUCGAGGAAAGAAAAAAAAAGAAGAAAAAACAGCUGCCAACGCGCGCGAGAAUGGGAGACGGGAUCUACACACAGGGUCCUGCUGGUUUAUUAAUAAUUACGUCAAUCAGCCUACGUUUGGCUCGUUAACGCAUCCUUUAGUCAACGCGUUUGUCGAUAAAAUUAGUCAAAUGAACGUAAACGUCAUUAAGUUACAAACCAGUACGAUAUUCGAGAGUAAAUACAUGUAUUCCCGGAACGAUCGGAGUUGUAAUGAAUUACGGAACCGCCAUUGACGUUACCCAAUCAAUCGAUAAUUACAAAACCGAUUUAGAUAACGAGUACGUAAAGUUUUAAACGCUUCGCGAGACCGAAAAGGGAAAUAAAGGAAGAAGAGAGAGAGGGGCGAGGGGGGGGGG